rnacentral:rRNA from 1 species
GACGAACGCUGGCGGCGUGCCUAAUACAUGCAAGUAGAACGCUGAAGGAGGAGCUUGCUCUUCUGGAUGAGUUGCGAACGGGUGAGUAACGCGUAGGUAACCUGCCUGGUAGCGGGGGAUAACUAUUGGAAACGAUAGCUAAUACCGCAUAACAGUAGAUGUUGCAUGACAUUUGCUUAAAAGGUGCAAUUGCACCACUACCAGAUGGACCUGCGUUGUAUUAGCUAGUUGGUGGGGUAACGGCUCACCAAGGCGACGAUACAUAGCCGACCUGAGAGGGGGAUCGGCCGCACUGGGACGGAGACACGGCCCAGACUCCUACGGGAGGCAGCAGUAGGGAAUCUUCGGCAAUGGACGGAAGUCUGACCGAGCAACGCCGCGUGAGUGAAGAAGGUUUUCGGAUCGUAAAGCUCUGUUGUAAGAGAAGAACGAGUGUGAGAGUGGAAAGUUCACACUGUGACGGUAGCUUACCAGAAAGGGACGGCUAACUACGUG